rnacentral:piRNA from 1 species
UUGAAGGCGUCUAACAGUGUUGGCCACUGUUC